rnacentral:ribozyme from 1 species
AAUAAAAGAAAGAAAACAAAUUAGGAAGAAGAAGAAAUAGAAAAAUGAGUUUUCAAUCAAAGAUUGAUAUUUUUCUUUUAUUUCUUCUUCUUCAUUUGUUUUCUUUUUUCUUUUAUUAAAAGUAAAGGAAAGGGAUCACGCUUACACUUUCUUCUUUGUGGCCUUCAACUUUCUCCUUUUCUCUGCCUUGUCCGCUUUAAUAAAAGAGAAAGGACAAGGCAAAGGAGAAAGUUGUUUGGGGCCACAGAAUAAAGAAAGCGUGAUCGUCAUCAGGAGAUUAUCCAACAUUCACAAGAUUAUUAAUUUUAUUUGAAAUAAAAUUAAAAUUUAAUCUUGUGAU